AGAGCAUGCGGUCGCGGCGCGCGUGAAGACGCGCGGCGAGGAAAGUCCGGGCUUCACAGGGCAGGAUGCCGGAUAACGUCCGGCAGGGGCAACCCUCGGGAAAGCGCAACAGAAAACAACCGCCUGCACGCAGGUAAGGGUGAAAAGGCAGUGCAAGAGACUACCGCCGCGACGGCAACGCCGCGGGCAUAUGCAAGCCCCAUCCGAAGCAAGGCCAAGCAGAAGCGAUACAGCGGCCCGCUGUGCUUCAGGUAGGCUGCUUGACGCGUCCGGCAACGGGCGUGCUAGACAGAUGACCGCACAACGACAGAACCCGGCUUAUCGCUCUGCC
rnacentral:RNase_P_RNA from 1 species